CUGAAGUUGCCCUGGAUGAAGGCGCCGGUGUUGACAUCGCCGGUGUUGGCGAUACCGGUGUUUGAGUCGCCGGUGUUGGACCA
rnacentral:tRNA from 1 species